UUAUUUAGAAAAUCACCGACAAAUGCUUUCGAAAAUGCAUUACUAAACCUGGGACUAGUUUGGAUAAUUCAGAACAAAAAUGUCUUUCUAUGUGUAUGGAUAGAUACAUGGAUUCAUUCAGUCUUGUUUCUAGGACUUAUGCUGGUAGACUUCAAAGAGAAAAAGGCCAGUUAUAGCGAAAAUAAAUUUUCAUUAGUGUAUAAAACUUCAUUAAUUUAGAAAAUGAACUGUAAUUAGUUCUGUAUAAAUCAGUUUUUUUUAAUUAUGUGCGUAUUUUCUAAAUCAUUUUUUUGACAUGAUGCUUUUUACAAUUAUGUUUUGAUACAUAAUAAAAGUGUUUAAAGUUAUUUAGUGAAAUAUUACACUAAUACAAUUGUAACAAAAUUUUGCAAGAAAUUUUAAGAAGUUUUUAAAUAUAGGUUACUAAAUAAUGAAAAAAUGUAAUAAAAAAUUGGACUUUAAUUCAAUUUCAGUUCAGUUAUUAAAUAAAUAUAAAUCAUAAGUUUGCAGUUUAUUGAAACUUCCCUUAGAAAUAUGUUUUUCAGACUGUCAAAACAUAUCCUUCAACUGCUUCUUUCUAAUACAUUAGAAUUCCAAUAACCCACACGCCUUAGGACCAAUGGUUGUGCUGAGUAAUCAUGUCUUUCUGAGUUUUGUGUAUACUUUUUCUAAUUUUUGCAUUAAAUCUGGAUUGUUCGCAUAUAAACUAGCUAAAACACAUUGUUAACUUAAGAAUUAUUUAAUGAAAAUAUAAAUCUAAUUUAUUUGUAAAUGUGAUUAAAAUACUAAGAAAGUAAGUUUAAUGCAAGGCGAAAUUAUGGAAAAGUUUUAAGAAAGUAAAGAACGCUUUGCAAAAUCACAAUGAAGACUUUUAUGUAAAAUAGUAAUAAUAACAAUGUAUAUCCACUAAUAAAAUUAUUUUCAAAGUAAUUUCUAUGCUGUUAAAUGAGAGAAAAAUAAAUACAUUGUUUAUAAAAAA